UGCUUCUCAGGUGGUGCCGUUGCCAAGGCUGGCUUGCUCCCCGGUCCUCUCCCGGCUGCUGCGUGGAACGGUUCCAGCUUGCCUUCCUCCAGUCGCCUUUUCGAAGUCUGGGCACAAAGUGGCAGGCGGGGCCUGCUUUGUUAUCUGGUCUCCACACACGGCUCUUGGUUCGCGGGGUGUUGGCUCACGCACAAGGAGCAGCGAACAAGGGAAAGGAUACGGGUGGAGAUCAGCCAAAGGAAGAGACACAUUAGCAGGGUCGUGGAAAGUGCUCAAGGCGGUUUCCGUUGUCCCCUGCCCCUGGAGUCAGGACACGUUCUCUCGGCCGUGGAGUGUGACGACACACAUGGAGGACUGCCAUCAGGGAACUCUCCGGAGCCUCGCUGCCCCACACGCUCCUUCGAUGGGCUGCCUUUCAGAGGCUGGGUGGAAAUUUCUUAUCUCUUUUCUCCCGAUUGCUGCUGAAUUCCCUGCAACUAAUGCCCGUUGUAUGUACCUGAUUACAAAGGGAGCGGUUUUACAGAACAUUCUUCCUCUCAGGAAAGUGAGAGUCACCUGCCUUUUUCUCGGUAAGAGGGAAAUGUUCUUUUGAGUAAUUUUUUAAUUUGCUAAACGUUUUUGAUCCCAUUGUCGUGGGGAUGCAAUCUUCCAGAGGAGAGGCACACAGACAACGAUGUUUUAAUAUUUGCACGGCUCCGAGGUGAGGCCAGCGAGAGCCCAGGGGCCGCCCGCACAGCCUUGCCUCUCCCAGGACCACGGGGACCGGGCGAGCCUCCUGUCCCCAGCCCGACCCCGAGAGACACUGACCACUUGUGUGCACCAGAGGCCA